rnacentral:miRNA from 1 species
CUCGGAGAGUGCAGCUGUGGGU